rnacentral:ncRNA from 1 species
CGAUAAGUUAUGAUAAGGACAUGAUUAUUAGUCUGAUGUUCAAAAGAGAGGGAAGUCGUGCUGAAAUCUUCCUGUUCAAUCUACUAAUAGUUACCACCUUUGAACUCCAUUUUUGAACAUAAUAGUAGAAAAUGGCGUCACUCUACGUUACAGAGCCUAUGAGCCAAACAAUGGUAUGACUUUGUUUGGGAACGAGGGUGGAACCACGAGUUAAUGCUUGUCCCUUUG